rnacentral:rRNA from 1 species
GGGUUGUGAGGUUAAGCGACUAAGCGUACACGGUGGAUGCCCUGGCAGUCAGAGGCGAUGAAGGGCGUGCUAAUCUGCGAUAAGCGCCGGUAAGGUGAUAUGAACCGUUAUAACCGGCGAUACCCGAAUGGGGAAACCCAGUGUGACUCGUCACACUAUCAUUAACUGAAUCCAUAGGUUAAUGAGGCGAACCGGGGGAACUGAAACAUCUAAGUACCCCGAGGAAAAGAAAUCAACCGAGAUUCCCCCAGUAGCGGCGAGCGAACGGGGAGGAGCCCAGAGCCUGAAUCAGCAUGUGUGUUAGUGGAAGCGUCUGGAAAGGCGCGCGAUACAGGGUGACAGCCCCGUACACAAAAGCGCAUGUGCUGUGAGCUCGAUGAGUAGGGCGGGACACGUGGUAUCCUGUCUGAAUAUGGGGGGACCAUCCUCCAAGGCUAAAUACUCCUGACUGACCGAUAGUGAACCAGUACCGUGAGGGAAAGGCGAAAAGAACCCCGGCGAGGGGAGUGAAAAAGAACCUGAAACCGUGUACGUACAAGCAGUGGGAGCCCCACCACUAAGCCAGUGGUGAACUCCACAUACGCAUCCUUUGCUGAGGAUACGGUUAACGGAGCGAAAGCGACGUUCAACCGCAAAAGAAGCAGAGGGGGCUUAGUGGUGGGGUGACUGCGUACCUUUUGUAUAAUGGGUCAGCGACUUAUAUUCUGUAGCAAGGUUAACCGAAUAGGGGAGCCGGAGGGAAACCGAGUCUUAAUUGGGCGUUAAGUUGCAGGGUAUAGACCCGAAACCCGGUGAUCUAGCCAUGGGCAGGUUGAAGGUUGGGUAACACUAACUGGAGGACCGAACCGACUAAUGUUGAAAAAUUAGCGGAUGACCUGUGGCUGGGGGUGAAAGGCCAAUCAAACCGGGAGAUAGCUGGUUCUCCCCGAAAGCUAUUUAGGUAGCGCCUCGUGAAUUCAUCUCCGGGGGUAGAGCACUGUUUCGGCUAGGGGGCCAUCCCGGCUUACCAACCCGAUGCAAACUGCGAAUACCGGAGAAUGUUAUCACGGGAGACACACGGCGGGUGCUAACGUCCGUCGUGAAGAGGGAAACAACCCAGACCGCCAGCUAAGGUCCCAAAGUCAUGGUUAAGUGGGAAACGAUGUGGGAAGGCCCAGACAGCCAGGAUGUUGGCUUAGAAGCAGCCAUCAUUUAAAGAAAGCGUAAUAGCUCACUGGUCGAGUCGGCCUGCGCGGAAGAUGUAACGGGGCUAAACCAUGCACCGAAGCUGCGGCAGCGACGUUUAUGCGUUGUUGGGUAGGGGAGCGUUCUGUAAGCCUGCGAAGGUGGCCUGUGAGGGUUGCUGGAGGUAUCAGAAGUGCGAAUGCUGACAUAAGUAACGAUAAAGCGGGUGAAAAGCCCGCUCGCCGGAAGACCAAGGGUUCCUGUCCAACGUUAAUCGGGGCAGGGUGAGUCGACCCCUAAGGCGAGGCCGAAAGGCGUAGUCGAUGGGAAACGGGUUAAUAUUCCCGUACUUGGUGUUACUGCGAAGGGGGGACGGAGAAGGCUAUGUUGGCCGGGCGACGGUUGUCCCGGUUUAAGCGUGUAGGUGUGUGUUCCAGGUAAAUCCGGUUCACUUUAACACUGAGGCGUGAUGACGAGGCACUACGGUGCUGAAGCAACAAAUGCCCUGCUUCCAGGAAAAGCCUCUAAGCAUCAGGUAACAUCAAAUCGUACCCCAAACCGACACAGGUGGUCAGGUAGAGAAUACCAAGGCGCUUGAGAGAACUCGGGUGAAGGAACUAGGCAAAAUGGUGCCGUAACUUCGGGAGAAGGCACGCUGACACGUAGGUGAAGUGAUUUACUCAUGGAGCUGAAGUCAGUCGAAGAUACCAGCUGGCUGCAACUGUUUAUUAAAAACACAGCACUGUGCAAACACGAAAGUGGACGUAUACGGUGUGACGCCUGCCCGGUGCCGGAAGGUUAAUUGAUGGGGUCAGCGCAAGCGAAGCUCCUGAUCGAAGCCCCGGUAAACGGCGGCCGUAACUAUAACGGUCCUAAGGUAGCGAAAUUCCUUGUCGGGUAAGUUCCGACCUGCACGAAUGGCGUAAUGAUGGCCAGGCUGUCUCCACCCGAGACUCAGUGAAAUUGAACUCGCUGUGAAGAUGCAGUGUACCCGCGGCAAGACGGAAAGACCCCGUGAACCUUUACUAUAGCUUGACACUGAACAUUGAGCCUUGAUGUGUAGGAUAGGUGGGAGGCUUUGAAGCGUGGACGCCAGUCUGCGUGGAGCCGACCUUGAAAUACCACCCUUUAAUGUUUGAUGUUCUAACGUGGACCCGUAAUCCGGGUUGCGGACAGUGUCUGGUGGGUAGUUUGACUGGGGCGGUCUCCUCCUAAAGAGUAACGGAGGAGCACGAAGGUUGGCUAAUCCUGGUCGGACAUCAGGAGGUUAGUGCAAUGGCAUAAGCCAGCUUGACUGCGAGCGUGACGGCGCGAGCAGGUGCGAAAGCAGGUCAUAGUGAUCCGGUGGUUCUGAAUGGAAGGGCCAUCGCUCAACGGAUAAAAGGUACUCCGGGGAUAACAGGCUGAUACCGCCCAAGAGUUCAUAUCGACGGCGGUGUUUGGCACCUCGAUGUCGGCUCAUCACAUCCUGGGGCUGAAGUAGGUCCCAAGGGUAUGGCUGUUCGCCAUUUAAAGUGGUACGCGAGCUGGGUUUAGAACGUCGUGAGACAGUUCGGUCCCUAUCUGCCGUGGGCGCUGGAGAACUGAGGGGGGCUGCUCCUAGUACGAGAGGACCGGAGUGGACGCAUCACUGGUGUUCGGGUUGUCAUGCCAAUGGCACUGCCCGGUAGCUAAAUGCGGAAGAGAUAAGUGCUGAAAGCAUCUAAGCACGAAACUUGCCCCGAGAUGAGUUCUCCCUGAGACUUUAAGUCUCCUGAAGGAACGUUGAAGACGACGACGUUGAUAGGCCGGGUGUGUAAGCGCAGCGAUGCGUUGAGCUAACCGGUACUAAUGAACCGUGAGGCUUAACCUUACAACGCCGAAG